UGAGGAAUAUUGGUCAAUGGGCGGGAGCCAGAACCAGCCAAGCCGCGUGAGGGAUGAAGGCCCUAUGGGUCGUAAACCUCUUUUGUCAGGGAACAAAAGCGAGUAUGUAUACUAGUCUGAGUGUACCUGAAGAAAAAGCAUCGGCUAACUCCGUGCCAGCAGCCGCGGUAAUACGGAGGAUGCGAGCGUUAUCCGGAUUUAUUGGGUUUAAAGGGUGCGUAGGCGGCGGUGCAAGUCAGCGGUAAAAGCCCGGGGCUCAACCCCGGCGAGCCGUUGAAACUGCAGUGCUAGAGAAGGCGAGAGGUACGCGGAAUGCGCAGUGUAGCGGUGAAAUGCUUAGAUAUUGCGCAGAACUCCGAUUGCGAAGGCAGCGUACUGGCGCCUGACUGACGCUGAGGCACGAAAGCGUGGGGAUCGAACAGGAUUAGAUACC
rnacentral:rRNA from 1 species